rnacentral:rRNA from 1 species
ACGGGGGGUGCAAGCGUUGUUCGGAAUUAUUGGGCGUAAAGAGCGUGUAGGCGGCUGAUUAAGUCAGAUGUGAAAUCCUUGGGCUUAACCCAGGAAGUGCAAUUGAUACUGUUCAGCUUGAGUAUGGUUAAGGAAGGUGGAAUUCGUAAUGUAGAGGUGAAAUGCUUAGAUAUCAGGAGGAACACCAAUUGCGUAGGCAGCUUACUGACCCGAUACUGACGCUGAGGCGCGAAAGCGUGGGUAUCGAACAG